UAGAUUUGUCCUGAGUCAAACUUCUAUAAGUUUGACCAAAUUUAUAGUAAAAUUUACUAAUAUCCACAACAUCAAAUAUAUAGAGUAUGAAAAUACAUUUUAUGAUGAAUCUAAUGAAACUAGUUUGGUGUUAUAGAUUGGUAUAUUUUUCUAUACAGUUCAUCAAGUGUGGGGAAGUUUGACUUAGAAUAAACCUAC
rnacentral:pre_miRNA from 1 species